GAUGAAGAACGCAGCGAAAUGCGAUAAGUAGUGUGAAUUGCAGAAUUCAGUGAAUCAUCGAAUCUUUGAACGCACAUUGCGCCCCUUGGUAUUCCAUGGGGCAUGCCUGUUCGAGCGUCAUUUGUACCUUCAAGCUUUGCUUGGUGUUGGGUGUUUGUCUCGCCUUUGCGUGUAGACUCGCCUUAAAAUAAUUGGCAGCCGGCGUAUUGAUUUCGGAGCGCAGUACAUCUCGCGCUUUGCACUCAUAACGACAGCAUCCAAAAGUACAUUUUACACUCUUGACCUCGGAUCAGGUAGGGAUACCCGCUGAACUUAAGCAUAUCAAUAAGCGGAGGA
rnacentral:misc_RNA from 1 species